GAUGAACGCUGGCGGCGUGCCUAAUACAUGCAAGUCGAGCGAGCGGACGAGAAGCUUGCUUCUCUGAUGUUAGCGGCGGACGGGUGAGUAACACGUGGAUAACCUACCUAUAAGACUGGGAUAACUUCGGGAAACCGGAGCUAAUACCGGAUAAUAUUUUGAACCGCAUGGUUCAAAAGUGAAAGACGGUCUUGCUGUCACUUAUCGAUGGAUCCGCGCUGCAUUAGCUAGUUGGUAAGGUAACGGCUUACCAAGGCAACGAUGCAUAGCCGACCUGAGAGGGUGAUAGGCCACACUGGAACGGAGACACGGUCAAGACUCCUACGGGAGGCAGCAGUAGGGAAUCUUCCGCAAUGGGCGAAAGCCUGACGGAGCAACGCCGCGUGAGUGAUGAAGGUCUUCGGAUCGUAAAACUCUGUUAUUAGGGAAGAACAUAUGUGUAAGUAACUGUGCACAUCUUGACGGUACCUAAUCAGAAAGCCACGGCUAACUACGUG
rnacentral:rRNA from 1 species